ACGGGAGGCAGCAGUGGGGAAUAUUGGGCAAUGGGCGAAAGCCUGACCCAGCGACGCCGCGUGAGGGAAGAAGAUCUUCGGAUUGUAAACCUUAGUCAACAGGGAAGAAGCAAGUGACGGUACCUGUGGAGGAAGCCACGGCUAACUACGUGCCAGCAGCCGCGGUAAUACGUAGGUGGCGAGCGUUAUCCGGAAUUACUGGGUGUAAAGGGAGUGUAGGCGGGACUGUAAGUCAGAUGUGAAAUAUACCGGCUCAACUGGUAGACUGCAUUUGAAACUGCGGUUCUUGAGUGAAGUAGAGGUAAGCGGAAUUCCUAGUGUAGCGGUGAAAUGCGUAGAUAUUAGGAGGAACAUCAGUGGCGAAGGCGGCUUACUGGGCUUUAACUGACGCUGAGGCUCGAAAGCGUGGGGAGCAAACAGGAUUAGAUACCCUGGUA
rnacentral:rRNA from 1 species